GCGUGAGUGAUGAAGGCCUUAGGGUUGUAAAGCUCUUUUACUAGGGAUGAUAAUGACAGUGCCUAGAGAAUAAGCUCCGGCUAACUCCGUGCCAGCAGCCGCGGUAAUACGGAGGGAGCUAGCGUUGUUCGGAAUUACUGGGCGUAAAGCGCGCGUAGGCGGCUUUUUAAGUCAGAGGUGAAAUCCCAGGGCUCAACCCUGGAACUGCCUUUGAAACUGGAAAGCUAGAAUAUUGGAGAGGUAAGUGGAAUUCCGAGUGUAGAGGUGAAAUUCGU
rnacentral:rRNA from 1 species